UUCCUGUGGGCUUCCCAGUGUUGCUCCCUGGUGUGGGACCUUCACAGGCUGCAGUUCCUCAGGGGCGUCCCUGCCCCAGUAUGUGUUGCCUUCUUGAAGAGUGCGUCUCCAGCCGUGCCCCUCAACACUGUCUCCCUCCACAUUCUCCUAAUGCUUCUCUUCACGGAUGACCACGGCUACACUUUAGACUUCCUGCAGAGAUGGGUCUUUCAAAUCCAUGUUUUGCCCUCAAGAUUUUGUCACAUGUUGAAGCAUUGACCCUCCAAACAGUAUAGACCUACAGUUUACAUGCUGUAGCAGCGUAUGUAACUGUAGCAGUGUGUAAGGGAGGAGGAAUGCACCAGGCUGCUUACUCCUGCUCCUUUUUCUGGAUAGAAAAGCACCAUCGCUCAUCUUGGGGCCUUGCAGGAGAACAUCAACACAAGGGCUCCUCCAUACACCUUCAAAUGGCAACACAACCCCUUCCUGCAGGUGUGAGGGGGGAUUUGGAAAGAUAGAUGUGAAGGCAUGGAGAAGGGUGGCUGGAUCAGAACUCGGG